GCUGGAGUGCAGUGGCACAGUCUCGGCUCACUGCAACCUCCACCUCCUGAGCUCAAGUGAUUAUCCUGCCUCAGCUUCCCAAGUAGCUGGGAUUACAGGUGGCUUUUCUACAAUAUAAAGAUGGAAAUGGGAAGAAGAUGUUCAUUGCAAAUUAAGGAAGCUCUUCCACGAGUUCACGAAUGGAAAUAACAUCAAGAGUUUUUCAUCUUCUUAGUGUGCAAGGUAUGGAUAUUCUGUGUGUGAACUUCAAGAGUAUCUAAGGGAGGCAAUAACAUGGUUGAUAAUAUACCAGAGACUACAAACUGUCUGUGCAUCCCAGAGGAACAGGAAGCUUGUGCAGGUGAAAAGACUGGAGGAGGAAGUAUGUUGAUGAUACCCAGGAAGCCCACCUUCCACUUCUUUG
rnacentral:lncRNA from 1 species